rnacentral:rRNA from 1 species
AGAACGAACGCUGGCGGCGCGUCUUAAGCAUGCAAGUCGGACGGCAAGGGUUGUGCUUGCACAACUCCUAGAGUGGCGGACUGGUGAGUAACGCGUGGGUGACCUGCCCUCGAGAUGGGGAUAGCCAUUAGAAAUAGUGGAUAAUACCGAAUACGCUCAUGACCCUGUGGGGAUAUGAGGAAAACAGGCUACGGCCUGGCUCGAGGAUGGGCCCGCGUCCCAUUAGCUAGUUGGUGAGGUAACGGCCCACCAAGGCGACGAUGGGUAUCCGGCCUGAGAGGGUGUACGGACACAUUGGGACUGAGACACGGCCCAGACUCCUACGGGAGGCAGCAGUGGGGAAUAUUGCACAAUGGGGGAAACCCUGAUGCAAGCAACGCCGCGUGAGUGAUGACGGCCUUCGGGUUGUAAAGCUCUGUCUUCAGGGACGAUAAUGACGGUACCUGAGGAGGAAGCCACGGCUAACUACGUGCCAGCCGCUGC